CGCGCCUAACACAUGCAAGUCGAACGAGAGAUGAGGAGCUUGCUCUUCAAAUCGAGUGGCGAACGGGUGAGUAACGCGUGAGGAACCUGCCUCAAAGAGGGGGACAACAGUUGGAAACGACUGCUAAUACCGCAUAAGCCCACGGCUCGGCAUCGAGCAGGAAGGGAAAAGGAGCGAUCCGCUUUGAGAUGGCCUCGCGUCCGAUUAGCUAGUUGGUGAGGUAACGGCCCACCGAGGCGACGAUCGGUAGCCGGACUGAGAGGUUGAACGGCCACAUUGGGACUGAGACACGGCCCAGACUCCUACGGGAGGCAGCAGGUGGGGAAUAUUGCACAAUGGGGGAAACCCUGAUGCAGCGACGCCGCGUGGAGGAAGAAGGUCUUCGGAUUGUAAACUCCUGUUGUUGAGGAAGAUAAUGACGGUACUCAACAAGGAAGUGACGGCUAACUACGUG
rnacentral:rRNA from 1 species